UACGAAGGGUACAAGCGUUGUUCGGAAUUACUGGGCGUAAAGCGCGCGUAGGCGGAUAAGUACGUCGAUUGUGAAAUCCCUGGGCUUAACCUGGGAACUGCAGUCGAAACUGCUUAUCUUGAGUGCCUGAGAGGAUGGCGGAAUUCCCGGUGUAGUAGUGAAAUACGUAGAUAUCGGGAAGAACACCUGUGGCGAAGGCGGCCGGCUGGGGGUGCCCUGACGCUGAGGCGCGAAAGCGUGGGGAGCGAACCGG
rnacentral:rRNA from 1 species